rnacentral:tRNA from 2 species
ACGCCAGUAGUUCAAUUGGUAGAGCACCGGUCUCCAAAACCGGCUGUUGUGGGUUCAAGUCCUACCUGGCGUGCCA